rnacentral:rRNA from 1 species
AAUGAACGUUGGCGGCGUGGAUUAGGCAUGCAAGUCGUGCGAGAAUCUCCCUUCGGGGAGAGGACAGCGGCGAAAGGGAGAGUAACGCGUGGUUACAUACCCUCGGGACCGGGAUAGAAGCGGGAAACUGCUAGUAAUACCGGAUAAUAUCUUUGGAUCAAAGGUGUGAUUCCGCCCGAGGAUUGGACCGCGUUCUAUUAGCUUGUUGGCGGGGUAAUGGCCCACCAAGGCGACGAUGGAUACCGGGUGUGAGAGCAUGGCCCGGCUCACUGGGACUGAGACACUGCCCAGACACCUACGGGUGGCUGCAGUCGAGAAUCUUCGGCAAUGGGGGCAACCCCGACCGAGCGACGCCGCGUGCGGGAUGAAGGCCUUCGGGUUGUAAACCGCUGUCAGUUGGGAGGAAGUGCCAGGGGGUUCUCCCCUUGGUUUGACCGAUCUUCAGAGGAAGGACGGGCUAAGUUCGUGCCAGCAGCCGCAGUAACAC